rnacentral:rRNA from 1 species
UGGGGAAUAUUGCACAAUGGGCGAAAGCCUGAUGCAGCAACGCCGCGUGAGUGAUGAAGGCCUUCGGGUUGUAAAGCUCUGUCUUUUGGGACGAUAAUGACGGUACCAAAGGAGGAAGCCACGGCUAACUACGUGCCAGCAGCCGCGGUAAUACGUAGGUGGCAAGCGUUGUCCGGAUUUACUGGGCGUAAAGGAUGCGUAGGCGGAUUUUUAAGUGAGAUGUGAAAUACCCGGGCUUAACUUGGGUGCUGCAUUUCAAACUGGGAAUCUAGAGUGCGGGAGAGGAGAAUGGAAUUCCUAGUGUAGCGGUGAAAUGCGUAGAGAUUAGGAAGAACACCAGUGGCGAAGGCGAUUCUCUGGACCGUAACUGACGCCGAGGCAUGAAAGCGUGGGUAG